UAUUGUAUCUGUUCAUUUUUCCUGUUCUCCUUCUCGUCAAAGUAUGUUUCGGCCGAAUAAAUAUAUUCUCGUAGCAGAUAAUUUUUAGGAGUAUUAACUGGAAUUUAUCUUUUUCAAUGUUCCCCGAUUUGGAGAUUUUUUGUUUUCUUCUACAUAUUUCAAUUUCUACCGACAUAAAGCUGAUUUUAAGGAGUUUUAGCUAGUAUUGAAGAAUUGUACCGCAAUACCCUAAGUAGAGUAGAAUUAUGCUUUUUAGAUAUUGAGAUGGAUAGUUCACCCUUGUACUUAUGGUCUUUUAUGAAAAGGGAGAUGGUGAGAUUCAGAUUAUUCCUUUGCACUUGCCUCCUGGUGAUACAUCACAAGAGAGGACCAUACAAAUUGAUGGAUCAAGUGAUCAGAUUGAGGCUGAAAAGUAGCUGGUGUAUGAAGUGAUUAGUGAGGGAUGUGUAACUGGAUUAAUAUUCUUCAGUUUCUAUUCUUUCCAAUUAUUAUAGAGAGAAUAUGAUAGGCAGAUGACUUUGCCGUCGAGAUGAUACAUAACCUCCUUUUGAAUGUUAGAAGUAUUUAUGUUUGUGUGUUAUUUGGUGACAUAUACCUGUACUUUGUUAAUGUAUAUGUGGAUUUUGCAUUGCGGAAGUGCACUUGAUUUAUUUAGUCUUCUAAGAGCUGCUUUUGUAGCUCUCUUGAUCUUGAGUUUUAAAGUUCUUCUAUCAACACCUUGAAAAGGCAAUAGGAUAUUAAUUUUUUCAGCAGUGGUGGAUUUCCUAACACAUCAAAAUUACAUAUUGCAUUUAUUGCUAGAGAAUCAUGAAUGAGUGAUCCUAAAUCCAAAUUUAUCAGGAUGGUCAUUAUUUAUGUCUAAAAGUUUCAUGUAUGUAUAUUGAUUUUAUCUACCUAUCUGUCCUUGUCUCGCUGGAAAUUCAUAGUGUUUGCAGAUAUCAUUUUGCUAAUCCUCUUUUUGGACUACAGCUUCAGUUAAUGGGAAUUGUAGUUUGUUUCCAAUGAUCCAUGGAUGAAGGAGAUUGGCUCUUGAUGUGCUUCAUUUUUGGAAGGAAGUACUCAUAUUCCUAACUGGACAUAUUCUUUCUAGUUGAAAAUAGGUCCUUCAACGUAUGUUACUCCACCUGAAAUAUAACUCCAUUACAUUAUGGAUGAAUAGUUUGUUAUCCAGAGAUAUAAAAUAUAUCUGUAGUGUGACAGAGCACCUAUCUAUGUCUACAUUUUUUCCCAUUGGUUUCUUCUAAUUAGUUGGAUGUUGCUGGAGCAAGAGAAUAGGUUUCUACCUGAAGACAGAGCACCUAUCUAUGUCUAUACUUUUUUCUCUCUGCUUUGAUAUCCUUCACUUCAAAUAGGGUGAGGAUGGGCAUCCGCCAGGAGUUUGUACUCCCAACCAUGGAGUUCCUACAUCUGAUAGAUUGCUAUUGAGCUCCUCAAUAUUGGAAUUUCUCGGCCCAUCUCAAGAUCAAGAAUUUGAAGUCAUGAAGAAUCAUCUUUGAGAUAGUGUAAAGCGAGUUGAAUUUGAAAGAAGAAGUUGAAGUACAAGAAGAACCUACUUUAUUUUUCUAGCGGUUGUUUACAUAUGUUUCCAUUUGUACAUGCGACAAUUCCAUUUUUGUUUUCUCUCAGUGGAAAAAUAAUAAUAUCAUACAAUUUGGAUGUGUAUACAUUCUGUAAUGUGACUCUUUAGUUCUUUGUAAUUAAAGAGUGAUGUUUUAUAUGAGCAUUGACUAUUUUGUA